GAUGAACGCUGGCGGCGUGCCUAAUACAUGCAAGUCGAGCGAACGGACGAGAAGCUUGCUUUUUUGAUGUUAGAGUCGGAGGGGUGAGUAACAGGUGGAUAACCUACUUAUAUGACUGGGAUAACUUGGUGAAACCGGAGCUCAUUCCGUAAAACAUUUUGAACCUCAUGAUUCAAUAGUGAAAGAUGGUAUUGUGCUAACUUAUCACUGCAUCCUCGCCGCAUUAGCUAGUUGGUAAGGUAACGGCUUACCAAGGCAACGAUGCAUAGCAGACCUGAGAGGGUGAUCGGCCACACUGGAACUGAGACACGGUCCAGACUCCUACGGGAGGCAGCAGUAGGGAAUCUUCCGCAAUGGGCGAAAGCCUGACGGAGCAACGCCGCGUGAGUGAUGAAGGUCUUCGGAUCGUAAAACUCUGUUAUUAGGGAGGAACGUAUGUGUAAGUAACUGUGCACAUCUUGACGGUACCUAAUCAGAAAGCCACGGCUAACUACGUG
rnacentral:rRNA from 1 species